GACGAACGCUGGCGGCGUGCUUAACACAUGCAAGUCGAGCGGUAAGGCCCUUUCGGGGGUACACGAGCGGCGAACGGGUGAGUAACACGUGGGUGACCUGCCCUCAGCUCUGGGGUAAGCCUGGGAAACUGGGUCUAAUACCGGAUAUGACUCCAUGACGCAUGUUGUGGGGUGGAAAGCCUUGUGCGGCUGAGGAUGGGCCCGCGGCCUAUCAGCUUGUUGGUGGGGUGAUGGCCUACCAAGGCGACGACGGGUAGCCGGCCUGAGAGGGCGACCGGCCACACUGGGACUGAGACACGGCCCAGACUCCUACGGGAGGCAGCAGUGGGGAAUCUUGCGCAAUGGGCGAAAGCCUGACGCAGCGACGCCGCGUGAGGGAUGACGGCCUGGUGUAA
rnacentral:rRNA from 1 species